CGAUAGCUCAGUGGUAGAGCGUGGGACUGUAGUUUAAUAUAUCCCUUGGUCGUUGGUUCAAAUCCAGCUC
rnacentral:ncRNA from 12 species